rnacentral:lncRNA from 12 species
AUCCUUUCUCACAAAUGAAAAUAAUCAUAAAUUUGGGGUUGCCAGCAUGUUGCUUUUCCUUUAGAGAUGAAGUCUUGUGUAUGUUACCCCCCCCCCCCCCCCCCCCCCCCCCCCCCCCCCCCCCCCCCCCCCCCCCCCCCCCCCCCCCCCCCCCCCCCCCCCCCCCCCCCCCCCCCCCAAAAAAAAAAAAAAAAAAAAAAAAAAAAAAAAAAAAAAAAAAAAAAAAAAAGGGGUAUUUGUUAGUUAAGUAGGUGUGGUGACAACCAUGUCACCAUUCCAGACUUCUACAGGAUGGAUUUUCCUGUGCUGGACGGGGAAGUGCUGUCAGGGAAGGGUGUAAGCUGUGCUAGUGUAAUGCAACCAUAUCUGCUAUACUGGAGACAAAGACAAAACCAUUUAUUUGGGUGGAAAACAACAACAACAAAAAAAAAAAAAUUCCAGCAACAAGGUAUCUUCUAGACUAAACCAAACAAUCAUCAGCAAUUAAAAAUGCAGUUCUACCUCCCAUCCAGAAUGGGAUUUGUGUGCCUGUAAGUGUGUAUAUCUUGGGGGCAGGAAUAGUGCUGCACUGUGGGGCUGAAGGACAGCUGAUCUCUGUUUCCUAGGGCUCAGGAAAUGCUCAGUUUGAGGUUACACUUUGUGACUCCAGGAGCCUUGUAUUGUGUAGGAUGGUGGGAGAUCUUCCUCACAGCCUGUUCCUUCACUUAUCUCACCACUUCCCCAGACUCUCUUGUUGUUUUCUCUCUUUGCCUUGCAGCCACCUUCUCAUCUUCCCCUUUGCCCUUUUCCAUUGUUCCCUUCUCUUCUGGGGAUUUUUCUCCCCCUUUUUGUUUCAUCUCCCUUGGCUAUUCC